ACAGCAAACGGAAGAGAUCAGCGCUGAGCGGUUUUAAGUGAUCUUUCACACGUGUGACAGCAGGUCCUCACGUCCUGUGCGUCCUCCGUGCGCAUGACGUCACCGACGUCUCGAGCUGUUUGUUCUGGAUUGUGGGAGAGAGAAAGAGCCUGCGCGCCCUCACAACAAAAUAACGGAGUAGCGUGAUCGGCGUAGCCUGCAUCUGAGCUGGUGACUUUUCUCUCUGGACGGCUUGAAAGCAGCUCUUCUGCUGAGUGCUCCUGGAGAAGAUGUGUGCGCUCAGAUAAGAGACUCUUCACACAAGAGACAAAAAUAUGAUCCGUGUCCUCCAGAGGACGUCUACUGCUGUGAGCAUGUGCGAGUUACGACAGGUG